AGCAUAUAGAGCUGUUAUAAGGACAAAUUUUUAUGGAUCAAGCCUUAAGGAACAGGGGCUGGACCGAAAAAGCCCUGCAAUAACAUGUGUGAUAUAGUACUUUCUUGAACCUAGAAAGCAAAAUUAGAGGGGCUGGAAAGAGUAGUAUUCUAUAUGAGAUUUGUGGUAUUUUUGUGGAGAACUGACUAACAGGCACAUGAUGCUUGGAGCAGCUUGGAAGAGUGGGGCGCAAGUGCUGGGACAGAAACCUGAGCUUUCAGAGAAAUUAAUCUCCAUGAUGUUAAAACAACUCCAGUUCACACAUUAAUAGGAAAAAGACUCAAGUGAGAGAUUUCUAAUGAAAGGGUAGCCAUGAUCAAGCCAUGAACAGCAAAGAGGCAUGGCAAAGGGUUUUUAAAAAUGACAACAUAUUGAGGAAAAUCUAUAUGGAAUUUGUUGGCUCCAACUGCAAUAUUGAGACAGCUGUUGAACUGCAGCCUGAAAAAGCGUAAAAUGUUGAGAACUGGUAACACAAGCUCCAGUUCUGAAACACUUGUGUGACAAGAAGAGAAACUCGUUAGGCAGCUGAAAAUGUCAUGGAACUAAUUGCUUCAUUUUGCUAGCUACCUUCUGCUACAUGCACAUCAAAAACCACUCCGUAAGAUGGAGAAUAUUCAGCUUUUGAGGAGCAGUAGUAGACUCUGUGGCAUUUGAGCACCCCCAUGCUCCAAACUUCUGCUGUCUGGCACCACAGUAAAUAAAUGCCACUACUCCCAUUUUACAGACAGGGAUGUAGAUCAAAAUAAAUGAAGUGAUUUUCUAAAGGUUGCACUGAGAGUUUGUUGGCAGGUCAGGGACCAAACCCAAGACCCCAGAGAAGUAGUUAAAUCUUUAGCCACUGGAAUUUUUUAUUGCUGAAUUGUGAAACAGGUAUUUUUUGAUAAUCCGGAAUUGUUAUUCUUCUCUUCUUUGACAGAUUUAAGAGCUUUCAUGUGCCACCUCCUUGUUCUCUCAUGUGUUUAUAUGGAGCAUUGCAUAUUUGGUUGAAAGCCAAAUGUGCCUCAGUUCCUCAUCUGCUCUUUUUAUGUUGCAACUUAUCUCCCAUCCCACCUCAGCAUUGUCUUUUAUAAGUGUAUCUCUAAUCUCAAGCAGCAUUUAGCAAACCAAGAUACCAGUGUCACAAGGGGUGACUGCAACAGUGGUGCUCCUAAUGAUCCCCCCUAGUACAUCUAUGGAAAACUUGAGCAGCCCUAGGAACAGAUCACUAGGUGUUUGAGAUUAUUUUCAAGAACCUUCACUAAGCAUUCACCAGGAACAGGGAGACAGCUGUUAACACUCCAGAAAUACCAAGUGAAGGUUUGAAUACCAAUCCAGAAAAGGAGUUAAAAAUAUAGUAGAUGAUUUAUCAAGGGCAUAUUGGAGAAGUGUGAAUAGAGAUGGUGCUGUCAUGAUGUAUCUCACAGUGCCUGAUGCUGGAAUGACUGCUAAGAGAUUUCCAGUUAGACACAGCAAAAUUUAUGAUAAUUACAAGUGUUGAGUGAGUACCAAAAUGGGUACCAAAAGACAAAAUGGGAAGAGCCUGAGGACAAGGGAAUUUGUUGAGGACAAUGGAAUUUGGGUGGUUGGGUUUGUUGUUGAGGUCUUUUUUCAGAUCUGUUGUUUGGUUUGAUUGUGUUGUUUUUAAAUGUUCUGACAGAGUUUAUUAUAAAGAGGUAAGAGGAAAAUGGCAUUUUAUCACCAUCCCACUUGCCAUCAGCAGCAGUUCUCCCCCUCCCUAGCUCCAGAAAUCAAGGGAUGGAGAGAGGACAGAGGUCUGGGGAAGGAGUGCUGAGUGCUGCAUUGUAGUGUGGGUGGUGAGGCCUGAAGGAAGAGCAUCUGCUGCUUUUGUUUCCCCCACUUCAUCACUACUGAUUUUAGAGGCAUCUGGAAUGUAGCCAAUCAUACAAAGGAAGUAACUUAAUCCAAAUAAUAGGCAUUUGUAAUAAAAUACAAAAGCAUACUUGGCAAGAGGUUUUACAAAAGAAGAAAUGUUUUAACCUGAGGUGUGAUCACACCUGAGGUGUGAACUGCUGAAUGCUGUGUGUUUAGGAAAGAUGGAUGCAAAAUUGAAGGAGCUGCUGGCACUGCUUGAGUGAUAUGUGAACUCAGUUUCAUCUACAUUACUUGGAAUUGGCUUUUAGCUCCUGCUUCUCUAUUGUCUGCACUGCUUUGACAGUAACUUUAUAAAAGUAGGAGCCAACUGCUCUGAGGGAUCUGUGUCUCCAACCUGGGUGUUCAAGUCCAAGUCCAGCCUGGUAGCUGGCUGGCCAUGUGUGUGCACAGGUGCCACUUCCGUGCACACAAUUGCUAUGCUAGUGCCAAGAGAUGCAUCACGUACGAUUUGUGCAGGCACACAUGCAAAUAGAUUAGAUAACUUGAAAAUCUAGUCCUGAAAGUAUUCCAGUUAUUACCAGAGAUGCAAUUUACCUUGAAUUUGUUCAAUAACAGCAUUUUAGAAUGAGGCAAUCCUAAUGAUUACAAAAAGCGACCUGCAAUAAUUUCUCCUCACAUGUUCCAUUAAUUUUGAAUACAGUGUAUGGACACUAAGCUCCGAUUCUCUGCCUUUGAUCCUCUGGUAGCUAUUUAUUCCUACACAAACGGGACUCUAAAUUCUGCUGAACUGGAACUCAGUCAUCCUGCAUUGCUCUGCUAGCGUGAACAAACCAUUUCUGAAAGCACAAACAGACUCAAUGGGAUGUCUGGACUAACCUAUAGACAAUAGAAGUUAAAUCAAAUCUCUUCUACCAAGCAGAGAGGACCUCAGGCUUAGAAAAAGCUGGAAUGCAGAAAUGAAUGCUGGAAUGCAGAAAGAGAUAUUUACUACUGGUGGAGCAGGGCAAUAGCAUGUUCUCUUGGACACUCUUAGCAGCAGCCUGUUUCACUCAAACAGGUUGAAAUCAAAACCCCGAACCUUGUUUGUCUCUACACUUGCUGAAAG